rnacentral:rRNA from 1 species
CAGGAAGGGGUGGGAGCUGGUAGGGUUCUCCUUGCGGUUGGGUAUUGCUCUUGGGUUCAGCGGCGGACGGGUGAGUAAUGCCUAGGAAUCUGCCUGGUAGUGGGGGAUAACGUCCGGAAACGGGCGCUAAUACCGCAUACGUCAUGAGGGAGAAAGUGGGGGAUCUUCGGACCUCACGCUAUCAGAUGAGCCUAGGUCGGAUUAGCUAGUUGGUGGGGUAAAGGCCUACCAAGGCGACGAUCCGUAACUGGUCUGAGAGGAUGAUCAGUCACACUGGAACUGAGACACGGUCCAGACUCCUACGGGAGGCAGCAGUGGGGAAUAUUGGACAAUGGGCGAAAGCCUGAUCCAGCCAUGCCGCGUGUGUGAAGAAGGUCUUCGGAUUGUAAAGCACUUUAAGUUGGGAGGAAGGGCAGUAAGUUAAUACCUUGCUGUUUUGACGUUACCAACAGAAUAAGCACCGGCUAACUUCGUGCCAGCAGCCGCGGUAAUACGAAGGGUGCAAGCGUUAAUCGGAAUUACUGGGCGUAAAGCGCGCGUAGGUGGUUCAGCAAGUUGGAUGUGAAAUCCCCGGGCUCAACCUGGGAACUGCAUCCAAAACUACUGAGCUAGAGUACGGUAGAGGGUGGUGGAAUUUCCUGUGUAGCGGUGAAAUGCGUAGAUAUAGGAAGGAACACCAGUGGCGAAGGCGACCACCUGGACUGAUACUGACACUGAGGUGCGAAAGCGUGGGGAGCAAACAGGAUUAGAUACCCUGGUAGUCCACGCCGUAAACGAUGUCGACUAGCCGUUGGGAUCCUUGAGAUCUUAGUGGCGCAGCUAACGCGAUAAGUCGACCGCCUGGGGAGUACGGUCGCAAGGUUAAAACUCAAAUGAAUUGACGGGGGCCCGCAAAAGCGGUGGAGCAUGUGGAUUACUUCGAAUCAACGCUAAGAAUCGUUACCUGGCCCUUGACAUGCUGCAGAACGUUCCAGAGAUGGACUUGGUGCCUUUCUGUACGUCAAAAUACAAGAUGCUGCAAUGACUGACGUCAGCUCGUUUCGUGCAGAAUGUUAAGGUGAAGGUCCAAGUAACGAGGACCAUUCCCUCUUGAUCCUAGUUACGAUCGACUUCGGGCUGUCACCCUAGGCAACUGUCCGUGACUGAUCGGUGCAAGGUGAGCAUGAACGUCAAGUCAAUCAAU